GUGGGGAAUAUUGGACAAUGGGGGGAACCCUGAUCCAGCCAUGCCGCGUGUGUGAAGAAGGCCUUUUGGUUGUAAAGCACUUUAAGCGAGGAGGAGGCUACCGAGAUUAAUACUCUUGGAUAGUGGACGUUACUCGCAGAAUAAGCACCGGCUAACUCUGUGCCAGCAGCCGCGGUAAUACAGAGGGUGCAAGCGUUAAUCGGCUUUACUGGGCGUAAAGCGCGCGUAGGUGGCCAAUUAAGUCAAAUGUGAAAUCCCCGAGCUUAACUUGGGAAUUGCAUUCGAUACUGGUUGGCUAGAGUAUGGGAGAGGAUGGUAGAAUUCCAGGUGUAGCGGUGAAAUGCGUAGAGAUCUGGAGGAAUACCGAUGGCGAAGGCAGCCAUCUGGCCUAAUGCUGACACUGAGGUGCGAAAGCAUGGGGAGCAAACAGGAUUAGAUACCCGAGUAGUCC
rnacentral:rRNA from 1 species